CUCCUGAAUUGGCAGGUGGAUUCUUUACCGCUGAGUCACCAGGAAGCCAGAUGAGAGUAUGGCUACAUGCAUAACAUUUUAAUAACUUUUCAAAACUUCCACUUGAGGAAUAACUUACGAUCUAUUGUUAUCUCAUUCUCCAACGGGAAGAAUCAAGGAAGUGAAGAGCAAAUUUUUCAAGAGUGUUCAUAUGCUGGAGAGACUUCUUUUGGUACCCAGUGCUGA
rnacentral:lncRNA from 1 species